AAUAACUCAAUUCCUGCGUUUCCGUGUCCAACGUUUCACCGUCUGUCUCAUAUAAAAUUUUUUUAUGAUUACUAUUUUCAUUGUUGUUAGAUAAUAAAACAUGAAUAAUACUUUAUGCGUGACUUAUCAUUUUAAAUUUUUUCAUAAUUUUUUUUAAAUAAGACGGACAGUCAAACGUUGGACACAGAAACUCAGGAAUUGAGUUAUU
rfam:Oryza sativa Japonica Group DNA, chromosome 11, cultivar: Nipponbare, complete sequence.